UUGAAUUGAAGAGUUUGAUCAUGGCUCAGAUUGAACGCUGGCGGCAGGCUUAACACAUGCAAGUCGAACGGUAGCAGGAAGAAAGCUUGCUUUCUUUGCUGACGAGUGGCGGACGGG
rnacentral:rRNA from 2 species